rnacentral:rRNA from 1 species
CGGUAAUUCCAGCUCCAAUAGCGUAUACUAAAGUUGUUGCAGUUAAAAAGCUCGUAGUUGGAUUUCUGCGGGGACGGAGCGGCCGGUCGCAACUUGCGACUCGAGCUAGCGCUUUCCCCGCAUCCUGCCGCGAACCGUGCUACCAUUAGCUUGGUGGCGCUGGGGAUCGGCUCGAUUACUUUGAGAAAAAUAGAGUGUUCAAAGCAGGCCACACGCCUUGAAUAAGUUAGCAUGGAAUAAUGACUAAGGACUUCGGUUCUAUUUUGUUGGUGUUCGGGACUGAAGUAAUGAUUGAUAGGGACAGUUGGGGCGGUCUGUAUUCCAAAGCGAGAGGUGAAAUUCUUAGACCUUCGGAAGACAAACAGCUGCGAAAGCGUUCCGCAAGGAUGUUCCCUUUGAUCAAGAACGAAAGUUGGGGGAUCGAAGACGAUCAGAUACCGUCGUAGUCUCAACUAUAAACUAUACCAGCUGGGGAUCGGUCAACGUUUAAUCAUUCGACUUGAUCGGCACCUUAUGAGAAAUCAAAGCAUCUGGGUUCCGGGGGGAGUAUGGUCGCAAGGCUGAAACUUAAAGGAAUUGACGGAAGGGCACCACCAGCCGUGGAGCCUGUGGCUUAAUUUGACUCUACACGGGAAAACUUACCAGGUCCAGACAUAGUAAGGAUUGACAGAUUGAUAGCUCUUUCUUGAUUCUGUGGGUGGUGGUGCAUGGCCGUUCUUAGUUGGUGGAGUGAUUUGUCUGGUUAAUUCCGUUAACGAACGAGACCCCAGCCUGCUAAAUAGCGCGGUUGAGCUUUGCUCGAUGCGAGCUUCUUAGAGGGACUAUGAUGCGCGAUAGCACAUGGAAGUUUGGGGCAAUAACAGGUCUGUGAUGCCCUUAGAUGUUCUGGGCCGCACACGGGCUACACUGGCGCCUGCAACGAGCAUAUCAGCUGGCCCGAGAGGGUCUUGGCUAAUCUUUUGAACCGGCGCCGUGCUUGGGAUUGACCAUUGCAAUUGUUGGUCAUGCAACGAGGAAUGCCUUGUAAACGCGAGUCAUCAGCUCGCAUUGAAUACGUCCCUGCCCUUUGUACACACCGCCC